AGUGUCUUGCGUCUUCGACUAUAUACUUUGUCAGAAAAGAAACGUUCUGGACCAGCUCAUUGGCAGUCAAACUCAAGUGUCUUGCGUCUUCGACUAUAUACUUUGUCAGAAAAGAAACGUCCUGGACCAGCUCAUUGGCAGUCAAACUCAAG